GCUCCAGCACAUUCUAUGACUGUAUGAUGACACACUCUUUCAUGUGUCCUGUGAGUACACUGGUCAUCAGCAAGAGGACAGAACAGAAUUGCUGAAGAUUUAAAAUGGCUGUUUCUGCAGGCAAUGCUUGCAGAGAGUGCUCUGCAGGGCUACACCAAUCGUAGGGGUUAAGGCAUUCUCAGUGUUGCUACAAUUACUGGCUCCAAUUGUUCUAAGCUCAACCAUUUUCUAGCAGAUACAUGUUAACCCUUUAUCUUCAUGGCAUCCUGUUUCAUGCCUCACCAUCAAGGAAUAGGGUAUUCCUCAGGCAUAGGAAUGGGGAUAGAGAAAGCUGCUCAGAUGCUGCUGUUGCCUGACUGCACCAGAGGACUCUGACAUCUUGGUGUGGGAAAUUACUGCCCAAAAUAUAAAAGAAAAGGGAUUGGAGGAUGUGUAUGUCCAGGAUUUCCAUACCUUAUAGAAUCCUGUCAAUGCUACUUCUCCAGCUGAGGUAUGCACACCAAUCUACUAGAAAGAGAGGGACAACCCAAUUUUGACACUGAUCUAGGCAAUGUUUGCCUAUGAAUAAUGACAAGGAAGUCAAGAACAGAUAAAUCUUUGGAGAGAGAAGUCUGUCUUCAGCAGGAGAGGCUAGCUCUUUUUAACUAAAGUCUCCCGUGGUAUCAGCUUGCUUGACAUUUCUGAAGAAGUGAUUUGGUUUCAAGUAGAAAGGAUUCUUUGGUUACCCAUGCAACUGAUGAACCCUAGGUGGUACACAAAUAUUUUUAUCCUAAUGAUCAAAAUGGAUGGAAAUAUAGGAUGAAUUGUUUUUUUCACUCCCUGAAGAUACUGGCUGAGACAUACUGACAUAACAGUACCAGUAGAAGCAGGUAUUUAAGGGUGGAUUUUUCAUUUUUUAAAGAGGGGACUUUGGCUCUCAGUCUGUCCCUAUUAAACCUGUUAAACUGCAUU